rnacentral:rRNA from 1 species
AGCAGCCGCCGCGGGAAUACGAAGGGUGCAAGCGUUACUCGGAAUUACUGGGCGUAAAGCGUGCGUAGGUGGUGGUUUAAGUCCGUCGUGAAAGCCCUGGGCUCAACCUGGGAAUUGCAGUGGAUACUGGAUCACUAGAGUGUGGUAGAGGAUAGUGGAAUUUCCGGUGUAGCAGUGAAAUGCGUAGAGAUCGGAAGGAACAUCUGUGGCGAAGGCGACUAUCUGGGCCAACACUGACACUGAGGCACGAAAGCGUGGGGAACAAACAGGAUUAGAGACCCCCGUAGUCCCUGUCUCUUAUAC